GUGUUUUGGUGAUUUUGGCGGAUUUAAACGCCAUUACCUGCUCUUGCUUCACUGAUAUAAAAACACUUUUAUUUCACUAAUAAACAUGGUGCUAUUCAAUCGAACUUCCAUCGCAAUGUGAGAACUAAGAAGAAACUCCAUCGCAGCAUGAGAUCUGCGAUUUCAUCCACAACGCUCUCCUCUGGCGGCAAUGUCGUUGUUGCUACCUUCGAAGGAGCGCUCUUCUUUGAUUAGGUUUAUUGGCUUCGAUUUGAGGGUUCGUUGCGCCGUCGCUCAUCUCCUCCUCACCACAAGUAACGCCAUCAUUGCUGUCCUCGGUGGAGCUUCUGCUAUCUGGUUUUAUGCAUUUUAGUUGAUCCUGAAUUUUCUUAAUUCUAAUUUGGUUAAGCUUUAGCAGAGCCUUUAUUUUCUUUUUCCCCUUCAAUGGUGGUCCUGCUUGGUUGAAUCUGAGUUUUGUGAAACUUUCGUCUCAAUAGCUCUCUAAGUAUAAUUCUCUUGGUUAAUUUUCUUUUUCCUUCUAGGUAUAAUCUGAGAUCGCACAUCGGAGGGAGAAGGAAAGGAGAACGAGAGUGAGUUCAUCUGAAACCCUAAAUCUUGUCGCUGCCAUAGUCACCACCAUUCAUCUCAUGUCUGCCGCUUCCAUCAACCUUCUGCGUUCGAGUGAAGGCGCCUCCUCUAUCGACGCGUUUCCAAAUCUGGUCACUACGCUAUAGCUUAUGAGAUUGAGCAAAGCACCUCUUCCAUUAAUGUGUCUCCUCCGCCAGCGGCGCCGAAAGAAAUAAAAGAUUCAGAAGAUCUUCCACAUUGGAUAUGCUGAUAAGAAACUAUCAAAGCUUCUACUGUGGUCCGAGCGAUCGCCAUUGUCAACCUCAGUACUGUCCAAGGAGGGUAGAAUUGCUAUCCAAGUUGGUGCUACAACAAGAACAAGUCAGAGGCUAGUGUGUUAGUUCAACAUGUAGCAAUUGUCUAGUCUCCAUGUUGAGAAUAGACUCAAGGAAGAGUUCCAGGAUUGGUGAUCUUUAUUAUCCAAGUAACGAUCUGGAUCCUUAUAUCAAAGAUAAGAACGAUGAUGAUGACUCUGAAGAACUCGAAGACAGAUCAUUAAUCCAACUGAUUUCGUCAUUGUUUGUGCUCGUAUUGAGGACGAUCUGAGUCUUCUCGAGGAAACUUCUUAGCUGCUGGUUCAAUGGAACCGUCAAUAGAAAUUUGGGACCUUGAUGUUAUUCUUAUGAAUUUUAUCCGUUGCUCAAGAUAAUCAAGAAUGGGGAAAUAUAUUCCCUGUGUUCAAGGAAAUAUCUGUCACUGGCAAUGCAUUAGAAAGGGUUCUUGCUUUGGAGAUUGAGCUUGCUGAAGCAUUGCAGGCCAAGAAGAAAUCAAGCAUGCAAUUUCAGAGGUACACCUUUCUUUUGGAGCAGUAAUUAGAUUUUGGUACAUAUAGAUGCUAAUUUUGGAAGCACUUCACCUUAAAUUUACCAUUUUCUUUGUUCUCGGUUAAAAUUUGAUGACUGGUUAGGAUCUAAAUUCUGAUAUGCAUCAUCUUUUUUACUCUUUGAAAUGAAGUAAUGAUCUUUUUCUUGUUUUAGCUAUCAAUUGCAUUUUAAAACAAGUACUUUGCUGAUUGAAUUAAACAAUCUCCAAAAGAUGUUAACACUGUUGUUUUGCACAAUUAAUUAAUGUAGAAGAGUUUUAUACUAACAUCCAAUUAAGAGUCACUUUUAUCUACGUGGCAGUUCCUAAUUUAAUGGUGCAAACGAGUUUUAUACUGACAUUGCAUAGAAUUAAAUGCUACUUGUUUCUCUUUUCGGCAUGUAUAAACAUGUAGUGGAACACUGUAUUGAGACCAAUUCAAUCACAUUGUUUCAAGACAAUUUUCCUCCCCACAUUUCAAUUCUUUCUUGAAACAACACAAUGACCAAUAGGAUUCAAUUUAUUUCAUUUCAUUGAAUUAAUGCAAUCAAAUUCAAUCCUCUUGUUUACAAAUUCCAAUAGGAUUGUACCGUAUAAAAACAAGCAUUCAUAAUUUAUUAUAAAUGGAAAUAAACAUACAUAAUUUACAAGCAGAGCAAGGCACACCAUUAUUAUUAUUACAAAGAGUGUACAUAUAUAAUGAAGGCUAUGUUUGAAAAAAAAAUUGUGUAUCAGAUUUCUCUCAAUUUUUAUUUAUAUAUAUAA